AUCUUUGAAAUGGCUUGUUAUGAACAAAGUUAUUAAUUUAUUCCUUUAAACAAAUCUCCCAGCUAUUGUUUGUUUUGUCCACAUAUUACUUUCACUAAUUGCUAAACUGCUUUCUGUUUUUGUAAUGCUGAACUUUAGACUGCCCUUGUAUUCUGCACAUCUGAACUGGAGGAGCAAUGCAGUCCUGAUAAUUGACCCUCCCUGGUGGCCAGACUUUGUGGAGUUUAUCUACAGGUGGGAGUUUAUCCAAAAAAGAUUGUCCUUAAAAUUUGCAUAGCUGAGGCAGGACAGCAGUGCACCAUACUGACUGGCAUCAUUUUGUGAUUAUUUUAUGUGGGAUUAAUCCCAGCAUACACCAAUAUUAACACUAGAAGUAUUGUGGAAUUUUACUGAAUCCUGAGGCCCUGUUUGUUGUCUAAAGAAAGGUAUGCAACCCUGUUUUGCCCAACAGCCUCUAACCUCCCCACCUACCUACUCUGCCCUUGCCUCUCUCAAAGCUCCUGCCAAUCACUGAGGAGCUUGUUAGAAGUAGAUUCUUAGUACUUUCUGCUGAGAUUCAGUAUUUCAAAAUUUAGUGAGAAAUAUGCAUUUUUUUUUGCAAGCAAUUCAGGUGCUUUUGAUACAGAUGGUUAUCAGAUCAUGUUCUCAGUUUUUUCACUCCCACCCCAUCCCAUCCAUGUAAGUGACACCUCAGACCAUAAAUCAUGGGGAGAAUGCUUAGCCAAGCAUGUCAAAAUCCAUUCCUGUUCCUCCUGAUGGAUAGAAAACCUCCUUUCCCUGUUCCUCCCUGAUUUCUAUGCUUCUUGGAAGAAAUGUGAAAGCAGUAUAUUUUUUAAAAGGCCUUCUUUAAGUCUUAAGAAUCUUCUUUUAAAAUGAGUGUGGUUGUGAUUCAUGAUUGUUGAGGGCUUUGUUGCAGCACAUGAGCUCUAAUUGUCUAAUUAUGGACCUAAAUGCAAAGGGCCAGGACUUUCAAAAUUUCCUUUCUCUUCUAGGCAUAAAGACCAAUCAGUCACUGAGACUGUUAACUAUAGUUUCUCAUGUGUUCAACAGCAAGGAGUUAAUUUCAAAUAUUGCUGCUGUGUAUCAAUUUUUCCACCUGUAUCUUUCCAUUCUUAUCCCAUAAUAGUUUCAGCUCUGUUGAGCUUCUGACGGCUUCAAAAAAUGCUGGCUCACUGUUUUUAUUAUUGUUUCUCACCUGCUCCCCUCCCUACCCUGCUUUGAUAUUCAGAUUUUCAUACUUAGAAGGAACAUAGCUGAAAUACUUUGCAAGUGCUUUACCAUUCUGGAUAUGCUUAUUUUCAAAUUGGCUCUGUUGCUGCGUGUAGAAAGAAACCUUGAUUAUAACUGCAUUUGGUGUCCUAUAGUGCACUCUCUUCACUUUCCAUGUCCCUCAAGCAUGCACAAGGCUCACCAGCCUACGGUUCAUACUAAUGCACUGUUUAGCUGGAAUUCCUCUCCUUCUCCACCACCACUUUACCUGGGCGGAAAGAGGGAUGGCAAGGAAACAGAAAGAAGUGAGAGAAGAUAAACACAUAGGUAGUGACCUUUUUUCUUUUGUAGGAACAAUUCACAUUUAUCUUCCUGAUGUCUGAGAGGAGCUCAUGUUUCCCCUCUUCCUCUCCCUCUCCCUCUCUUAAUGGUUAACCUAGUGGAGAUGUGUUAUAUUCCAGGAGCUUGAGUAGUUUUUGUUUUGAAGUGAACAAUUAGGGUUUGGCCACAGGAGCAUCUGGUAAAGCAUCCUAGAACAGGAGAAGGAAAGUAAGGAUAGUUUUCCCCCUUCACUUUAUGUAUUGUGCUUCAAACAUCCUGUGAGAUAGUUAAGUUAGUUUCAUGGGAAGAGGUUAUAUUUUGAUUGGACAGAGUAGUUUCUGUAGGAGCUGGUCUGAUAUCUGGUUUUCCUUACAGAUCUCAACCUGACACAACUUGAAGCAGAAAAUACUACACGUUCACUUUGUUUAAACACCAAUAACACUAGCAACUUAUACACUGUUGAACUUUCAGGGAAGUUAUUCUGCAAAUUCCAUAAACACAUCUUUAACAUCUUCAGCAGGAACUAUUACAGGUGUGCUCCGCUUGGGAGCUAAGAAGUUUAUUUUCAUUAUUUACACAGAAAUGAAGAGUACAAUAAAUCAUGCCGUCGAGCAUUUUUGGCAAUUUAGUGAUCCUUUGUUAUGUAGGUAGAUUUGAUUUUCACAUUCAUGAUCCUCACUCAUUCACUCUCUCAAGAUUUUUUGAAGCACCUUUGGAGACAAUGUGUCAUAGUCUCUGUGUAUGUGCACAUAUGCUCUAUUGCCAGGGCUCAACGCCACUUACUAACAAUGCGACUGUGAGCAAAUUGUUUAACUGCUCUUUUUCCUCAUCUAUAAAAUGGGUACAAUGAUAAGCAUAUAACCACAUGGGGAAUUUAGGUGUGUGAUAAGUAAAAAUAUCUGAAAAAAGAUAGCAGAGUAUCUGGUACAUAUUAAGUAUUCAAUAUGUGUUACUCAUUAUCACCUUCCCUGUAGCCAGAGCUGAAAUAGUCAGUUGCUAAGGGAUGACUGGCCUCUAAAAAGAAUGCUUAUUUUUAAAAUUCAGCUUUAGAUGUCACGUAUUAUUGGUGCAUAUGGUUUGCACCAUACGCAAAGUAUGGUAUGAAUGUCAUUUGUUCAACUUGGAAUUUUUUAGGAACACAUUUGCUUUAUGUCAUGCGCCACUAUAAUCAUAUAAGGGCAGGGGCUUUGUUUGCUGAUCACUGUGUCCCCAGAGCCACAGUGUCUGUCAUGUAGUAGGUACUUGAGAAGUAUAUAUGAUAGAGAGGGGGAUACGUUGCUCUGCAGGGGCCUUUGCCUAUACAUGUCUUCCUGGCCAAUAGAAUAAAAUGAUCCUCAGAACAGAUAGCUAUGGACGGAGGAGACAAGGGAGGAGGCAUGUUUCUGCUUCAGGAAAAAAAAAAAAAAAAAAAAAA
ensembl:lncRNA